rnacentral:rRNA from 1 species
UACGGGGGGGGCAAGCGUUGUUCGGAAUUACUGGGCGUAAAGGGCCAGUAGGCGGCCAACUAAGUCCGACGUGAAAUCCCCAGGCUUAACCUGGGAACUGCGUCGGAUACUGGAUGGCUUGAAUUCGGGAGAGGGAUGCAGAAUUCCAGGUGUAGCGGUGAAAUGCGUAGAUAUCUGGAGGAACACCUGUGGCGAAGGCGGCCCCCUGGUUGGAUACUGACGCUGAGACGCGAAAGCGUGGGGAGCAAACAGG